GACGAACGCUGGCGGCGUGCUUAACACAUGCAAGUCGAACGAUGAAGCCGGAGCUUGCUCUGGUGAAUUAGUGGCGAACGGGUGAGUAACACGUGAGUAACCUGCCCUUGACUCUGGGAUAACUGCUAGAAAUGGUAGCUAAUACCGGAUACGACCCUCGGAGGCAUCUCCAGGGGGUGGAAAGAAUUUCGGUCAAGGAUGGACUCGCGGCCUAUCAGCUAGUUGGUGAGGUAACGGCUCACCAAGGCGACGACGGGUAGCCGGCCUGAGAGGGUGACCGGCAACACUGGGACUGAGACACAGCCCAGACUCCUACGGGAGGCAGCAGUGGGGAAUAUUGCACAAUGGGCGCAAGCCUGAUGCAGCAACGCCGCGUGAGGGAUGACGGCCUUCGGGUUGUAAACCUCUUUUAGUAGGGAAGAAGCGAAAGUGACGGUACCUGCAGAAAAAGCACCGGCUAACUACGUGCCAGCAGCCGCCGUAA
rnacentral:rRNA from 1 species